rnacentral:rRNA from 1 species
GUGGGAGCUUGCUCCUACUGGAUUAGUGGCGAACGGGUGAGUAACACGUGAGCAAUCUGCCCCUGACUCUGGGAUAAGCGUUGGAAACGACGUCUAAUACCGGAUACGAGCUGGGACCGCAUGGUCACCAGCUGGAAAGAACUUUGGCCAGGGAUGAGCUCGCGGCCUAUCAGCUUGUUGGUGAGGUAAUGGCUCACCAAGGCGACGACGGGUAGCCGGCCUGAGAGGGUGACCGGCCACACUGGGACUGAGACACGGCCCAGACUCCUACGGGAGGCAGCAGUGGGGAAUAUUGCACAAUGGGCGCAAGCCUGAUGCAGCAACGCCGCGUGAGGGACGAAGGCCUUCGGGUUGUAAACCUCUUUUAGCAGGGAAGAAGCGAAAGUGACGGUACCUGCAGAAAAAGCGCCGGCUAACUACGUGCCAGCAGCCGCGGUAAUACGUAGGGCGCAAGCGUUGUCCGGAAUUAUUGGGCGUAAAGAGCUCGUAGGCGGUUUGUCGCGUCUGCUGUGAAAAUCCGAGGCUCAACCUCGGACCUGCAGUGGGUACGGGCAAACUAGAGUGCGG